rnacentral:lncRNA from 1 species
GUAGAUACAGGAAGCCGCUGCUAAGGUGGCCUCAGAGAGGAACCGGUGUGGUGAACUCCUGGCAUGCGCAGGUGACAAGAGGUUCCGCAGGAAUGAAUGGAGUCUCUACACAUCAAAUCGUGUGUCUUGACUACUCAGGAUGUCAAGGGCAAAGGUUGUUCUACAGUGCCUUGCUUCUGAUUGUGCUGUCAACCUUCUCAGUCCCUGGGUUGGACCUAGGACAACAGGCCAGCCUUUGGUUAGCAUCAGCAGCUGAGUGGAGACUCGUCUCCAAGCAUCAAGGAUGUGAAAAUGUGAUCUUGUUGGGGAUAGUGGGAGCUUGGGGGAUGGGUUCCUUUGUACUUCUCUCAAGGUCUCCUGGUCCCUCCCUGUGUGUUUGUGGGCGCCACAGACAGCCUCACAAUCAGGAUGAGUGGUAACGGGACAGUCAAACACAAUGAAGGGAAUCAUUGUCUCACGAGAGUCAGAACAUCUGUUCCUCCCACCGCACCUGGGCGAAGGCCAAAUAAUCAAAAGAAGGAAACAGGAUCUGCCAACAACGCACUUUACCUUGAGUCUUUGUGUAGAGAAUACCUUCUCCAAGUAGGCGCCUUUCAUUGGCUCAGAUUUUCCCAUCUCAGUUGUCAUUAUAACUGAAAGCUAUUGUAGCUCAUAAUUUCACAUUGUCCUUUCAAAUAGAAGCAUCGCCAAGCAGAUGUGAACAAUUAUCUUCAAUUGUGAUUUUUUUUCCAUUAAAUUUCUAAAGGAAUACCUAA